rnacentral:sRNA from 1 species
GACUGUGGAUCUCAAGCCCUCAGUGCCAGCCUGGCACUGGGAAAGCAUGUCAGUUGCAGCAGAGGUGUCAAUCCACCAGACCCGAGCUCCAUUCAGUGCCUUCCCCUUACCUGUUCCCCUACAAAACCCAGAGUCCCUCAUUCCUAGUUCAGGAAGAAUCUCAUUUUAAGUGGGGAGAAACGAAGCAUCCCUCCACUUGUGCUGUUGAUGACAAAGGAAUUAGUAUGCUCUGGGGAGUGUGCUGGAAAUCCUCUACAGAGAAUUAGAAAACU